GAUGAACGCUGGCGGCGUGCCUAAUACAUGCAAGUCGAGCGAACGGACGAGAAUCUUGCUUCUCUGAUGUUAGCGGCGGACGGGUGAGUAACACGUGGAUAACCUACCUAUAAGACUGGGAUAACUGCGGGAAACCGGAGCUAAUACCGGAUAAAUGUUGUAGCUGGAGGGUUGAAAAGUUAAGGUUGGUUUUGCGGUCACUUAUAGACGUAUCCGCGCGGCAUUGGCUAGUUGGUAAGGUAAGGGCUUACCAGGGAAACGAGGCGUAGCGGGCCUGAGAGGGUGAUCGGCCACACUGGAACUGAGACAAGGUCCGGACUCCUACGGGAGGCAGCAGUAGGCAAUCUUCCGCAAUGGGCGAAAUCCUGACGGAGCAACGCCGCGUGAGUGAUGAAGGUCUUCGGAUCGUAAAACUCUGUUAUUAGGGAAGAACAUAUGUGUAAGUCACUGUGCACGUCUUGACGGUACCUGAUCAGAAAGCCACGGCUAACUACGUG
rnacentral:rRNA from 1 species